AGAAUGAUGUAUACAUCUCCUGCACAAAAAUACUCAUGUGUUUGUUUCCUAUUUCAUUUAGUCAUUCUUUGAUUCCACAUUAAGAACCCCAGGAUGAAUAAGCCUCUAUAGCUCUAAUAGUCUAUUCUCUUAAAUCAAGUAUCACAUAACAUUCCUGUGUAUGUGGUAUUAUUUUCUCCAAUAAUUCAAAUCCUUAAUGUGGUGAGGCUUGCUCACCUGUUAUAAGGUAGACUGUGGUUAUCUGUGUGGGUUUUGUUUAAAUACAUGUAUCUCAUUCUCACUCAGAGUAAAAGAUGAAGAACAGGUGUGUAGGCAGAAAAAGGGAAAAUCACUUUAUAAAAUAAAACCAAGACAUGACUCUGGAAUUGUAAGUGUUUAAUUUUUCUGGUUUUUAACUUGUUUGCUUUGGUUGUUAAACCUGUUUUCAUAAUAUAUACAAACUCAUGUAAUAAUAUUUUAAUUACUUUAAGUUUGGAUGAAUAAUGAGCUUCUGACUUCAAGAAUGUCUAUUUUCUUAUGCCUUUAAUCAGGCCCAAAAGGCUGAGAGAAUCCUAAUAUUCAGUAUUUGACACUUAAGAAUUAAAAUCAAUCAACUAAGGGUGUGGAUAUGUGUGUGUUGGCAGGGUGGAGACAGGCGACCAUCUGUCACUUUCUUCAUUGCACAUGGAGCCUGGCACAGGGCUAUUAUAAUCGCAUUAGCUCCACUGGGAUCUAAAGCAUAGUGGGAAAUGCCAAGUGUGGUGUAGUGCUUUGCCCAGGGUGCUCAGACCCAGUUCAUAUCCACAAAUGGCUCUAUAAAGUUGGCUGCUGGACAGUUGUCAGUCCAUAGACUGAGGGUGACAAGCUAAUCUAAAUUUCCUGCUUUAAAAUAAAACAUGAAGGUGUACACCCUGGGAGGGAAAGCCUUGGUUAAAAGGACAAGGUUUUAUGAUACGGUAGAUGUUUUGUUGAAUGUUUGGAGGGAUCAUAACUUGGUACCACAGUGUAAGCAAAUGGUCCUGUUUUAUAUGCAGAGUUGAGUUAGGCCUUAAAGUAGGAGCAUUUUGUAUUACGUUAGUCUGAUGUAGUCUAAAUAGAAAAGAUUUUAAAAUAAUCCAAAUUGAGAUAUGAUUAAAUAGCCCUAUUUAGAGAAAGUUAGGAAUUAUAUCUUCAUUUAAAAGCUAUUUUCCCUUCAGUUUCUCAGUAUCAAAAUUAAUCUUAUCUAAUGACAAUACCCUAUUAUGGUUCAGUAUAUUUUUUGCUCUUUUCUGAUUAAAGUUCAAUCCUAAAACUGUAUUGAAUGAGGAAGGACAAUUAUUAGUUCACCACCACCAUGUCAUUACAGGCACAGAGGAAGAAUUAAAGUGAUUGGCACGAAACGCAGCAGCGGAUGCAGUUCCACGUUCAUGUGUUUGCACACAGGACUGACCGUGAGAAGGAAAGCAAAGAUAAGCAUGAAACCUGAACAAUGAAAAGCAGGAUGAAAAUGAGUCAUUGCAGCCACUUCCGCAAAAUCCAGCUGUCCUGAGGGUGGGAAGGAAACUCUAUCAUUCUGAUCAUUUUUCUUCUUGACCUUCUCAUAAUCUUUGUGUUUUCUAGUCAGUUCACUGACUGAUGAAUUUUACUGUAUAUUCACAUAAUAAUGCAAAAGCGGUAGGCCAGUGGGGGUUUUGACACAUUUUCUUUUUGUAAAAAGUUUAUGGUAUUUACCGACAGACCAAAACAGCAUCUGCACUGAUUCUGAACAUGCUAGACAUUAACCUUAGAUUUACUUUUGUGAGAAUAUUUCUUGUCACAGCAAAAACACUUCCUUUCUACUGACAACCAGUGCUCCACAUCAGUGCAUUUAGAUUUAUGGAUAAAAUGUUCUUUCUGGUGAAUGUUUUUGUAUCAGUUUCAUGUCUACAUAUAAAUUUUCUAUUUUAAAAUUUAAGUACCAUUUAUAUAUCACAAUCAAUGCUUCCCCAACUCUUGAGUUGCUCUUCAUACCUGUAUUUUUGUGAAAGAGUAUUAUCACUUAUUUUACUCAAGUCAGAUAAUGAAUAGAAGAAAAUAUAGCAAUAGAAAAAUCCUGUCUUGUAAAUUAUUUAAUAUAGGCAGGAAUCAGAAUUUUAAGUUUAAUGAGUGCUUUUAUCAAAACAUGUCCUUUGAGACUCUAUAAAAAGCUAAUGUGCAGCAGAGAUAAAUUAAACUAAAGGUGUAAGUCUCUAUGACAUGACCAUUUCACUUCACACAGAAGAUCUCACUAUUUUGAAGAAAUUUAAAUAAAUUAUGCUAAAAAGAAUUGCCAAAAAUGAGUAAUUUAUCAGCCAAAAAAAAAAAAAAAGAAAGACAUAAAGUUUUUGGAUGGAUUGGUAUCUACCUAGAAACUGUUAAAUAGCUUUACCUGUCUGAGUGCUCUGGCGUGAUGGGCUGGUCUUUCUGUGUUACAGAGGGUGAUUAAAGCUGCACCGUGAGAAUGUGCUGACUCAGUGUCUGAAGGAGUCUAGGAAAGGGCUUUAUUUCAUUUUACUUUAAGGGGAAAAAGGUGCAUCUCUCACUCUUUCUGAGGGUGCUCUAAAGUCAGCUCAUGUUGCAUUAUGGAGGUUAUGUCUAACAUUAAUAAUUUUUGUAAAACUGCUUUUAAUGGUAUUUGUUGGGAUUAUGGUUGUGAAUAAAGGGGAGAGUUCGUUGCAUUGCAAACCACUUAUGUGAAGCAAGUUAAAAAGAAAAACGAUGUUCUAAAGCAUAACUAUGUUUGUAUUUACGUAAAGUAAGUAGUCUCUUACCUUUUAGUUUGUAGUGGAAAUAAAUGGUAUUGGUGUUUUCUGUUGUGGUUUUGUAGACUUCCUGCCCCCUUCAUUACCACCAAUGUGGAUAUCACCAUUCUUCAAUGAAAUGAUAGGGCAUUUAACAAAAGAUUGCUAUGUGCAGUACUGUAUUUAUUAGUGUUUCUGUUUCAAUUUUUAUAGGACGUGAAUUUAAAUGAAAAUAGUGAUUAAUAAAAGAGUUCUAUGUC